rnacentral:rRNA from 1 species
GAUGAACGCUAGCUACAGGCUUAACACAUGCAAGUCGAGGGGCAGCACAGUGUAGCAAUACAUGGGUGGCGACCGGCGCACGGGUGCGUAACGCGUAUCCAACCUUCCCGAUACUCUUGGAUAGCCUUCCGAAAGGGAGAUUAAUACAAGAUGGUGUUUCACUUUCGCAUGUUAUUAAAGCUAAAGAUUUAUCGGUAACGGAUAGGGAUGCGUGACAUUAGAUAGUUGGCGGGGUAACGGCCCACCAAGUCUACGAUGUCUAGGGGUUCUGAGAGGAAGGUCCCCCACACUGGAACUGAGACACGGUCCAGACUCCUACGGGAGGCAGCAGUGAGGAAUAUUGGUCAAUGGCCGAGAGGCUGAACCAGCCAAGUAGCGUGAAGGAUGAAGGUUCUAUGGAUUGUAAACUUCUUUUAUACGGGAAUAACAUCACCUACGUGUAGGUGCCUGCAUGUACCGUAUGAAUAAGCAUCGGCUAACUCCGUGCCAGCAGCCG